rnacentral:rRNA from 1 species
GACGAACGCUGGCGGCGUGCUUAACACAUGCAAGUCGAACGGAAAGGCCCUGAUUUUGCGGGGUGCUCGAGUGGCGAAAGGGUGAGUAACACGUGAGUAACCUGCCCUUGACUUUGGGAUAACUUCAGGAAACUCGGGCUAAUACCGGACAGGAGCUCCUGCUGCAUGGUGGGGGUUGGAAAGUUUCGGCGGUUUGGGAUGGACGCGCGGCUCAUCAGCUUGUUGGUGGGGUAGUGGCUUACCAAGGCUUUGACGGGUAGCCGGCCUGGGAGGGUGACCGGGCACAGUGGGAUAUGGGAGGCAGCCGGAGUGCAUCGUGGGGCAAGGAGGGGAGAUUGUGCAAGAAAGGCGGAGUGCGUGAAGAAGAACUCCGGGUGGUAGAGAACUGUCGUCGGGGUAGAAAGCGCGUUCGCCUGGGAAGGACAGAGUGUGACGGUAAUUGAUAAAAAAGCACCGGCUAACUACGUG